UACGAGGGGGGCAAGCGUUGUUCGGAAUUAUUGGGCGUAAAGAGCUCGUAGGCGGUUUGGCGCGUCGACUGUGAAAACCUACAGCUUAACUGUGGGCUUGCAGUCGAUACGGGCAGACUUGAGUUCGGUAGGGGAGACUGGAAUUCCUGGUGUAGCGGUGAAAUGCGCAGAUAUCAGGAGGAACACCGACGGCGAAGGCAGCGCCCUGGCCGCCAUCUGACGCUCAGGCACGAAAGCUAGGGGAGCAAACAGG
rnacentral:rRNA from 1 species